rnacentral:rRNA from 1 species
AGAGUUUGAUUAUGGCUCAGGACGAACGCUGGCGGCGUGCCUAACACAUGCAAGUCGAGCGGGGAUUUAAGUGGAAGUUCUUCGGAAUGGAGAUUUAAAUUCUAGCGGCGGACGGGUGAGUAACGCGUGAACAAUCUGUCCCGGACAGGGGGAUAACACUUGGAAACAGGUGCUAAUACCGCAUAAGACCACGAUACCGCAUGGUAAUGGGGUAAAAGGAGAAAUCUGGUUCGGGGUGAGUUCGCGUCCGAUUAGCUAGUUGGUGAGGUAACGGCCCACCAAGGCGACGAUCGGUAGCCGGCCUGAGAGGGUGAACGGCCACAUUGGAACUGAGAGACGGUCCAA